GCAAGAUCCCCUAAAGCUGAGAUGAUACAGCCUUACAGACUACAAAAACAAGGACUUGUUACUACAAUUGGCUCUUGGUUUUCAUAUCAGACAACAGAGACUCAACUCACAAGAGGAGUUGUAGAAUAUCUUUCAACAUUAUUUAUGCUAGAAAUGUGGAGACAGUAAAGAAUGUUUGGUGGCUUUUUGACAAUAACAUUUUUUCUCUGAAAAAUCCCACUGAUGCUUGUCACUGAGUACUGUAUUACAAUCUCUGACAAAGUGUCUAGAUCCUUUUUGAAUAUCUCACACGGUGACAAGACUGGCAUGUUUCAAUUUCUCCUUUGCAAAAUACAUUGCUCCUUGAAAUUCAAGUAAAACAGGCUCAUCUCAAGUGACAAUAACAUUGUCAAAAUCAAAUCACACCUAUUUUGUAGCUUCUGGGCAACAUUUAUCCAGAGGUUUCUAACCAACGCACACACUAUUUUCUAAAUGUUACACUUCUUUAUACAGAUUUUUAAAAUGUCCAAGAAAUGUCUUUUCUUAGUGUAAACCAAAAUAUCUUUGUGCAUGUUACUCACAAAAUCCCUCAUGUUAGACUAUAAUACCUGAUGAUGAAAAUGACUUAGUUCACUAUCAAAUCUUUUGAUGAUGUGACCACCUUGACAGAGUGCAUAUAUGGCAAUUAUAUUCACAUAGCAUCUUUAUUUAUUUUUUACUUUUUUGGUUUUUCGAGACAGGGUUUCUCUGUGUAGCUUUGGAGCCUAUCCUGGCACUCGUUCUGGAGACCAGGCUGGCUUCGAACUCACAGAGAUCUGUCUGCCUCUGCCUCUGAGUGCUGGGAUUAAAGCUGUGUGCCACCCACGCCCAGCUUCUUUAUUUCUUAAAUAACAGAAAUAAUCUAACUGCAGCUUCAGGUACAUUUGACCACAGAGAUGUACUCUAUGAGAGAGACAGCUACUAAAAUGCACCUCUAGUUUCCAAGGUUGCCUCAUGUCUAGUCUUUAACAGAAGCCAAAUCUACUAAAAUACAGCUUCCAGUUUUUGUUAGUUCUCCUAAGUCUGUAUUCUUCCUUACAUGGGCUCAACAUUAUUUCUUAUUUCAGUGCUGAUUGCAAUUUGUAAAAAAAAAACUGUUGUAUUACAUACCUAUGAUAUAGCCAUUGCAAUAAUAUUUUUUGCUAUGAAACACAAUCUUACAAGUUUAAUGGAAUAGAAUUUCAUACAUUUAUUGUUUUAAUUUUAUUUAGUAUGAAGUCCAGGAAUUGUGUGGAUGGAAUCUCUGAUUUGAUAUAUCCAAAUGUCCUAAGGGGGCCAUAUAUCUUAAGGAUGCUUUACGGUUGUGCUUGUUAAUUUCAUUAGCUGUUAUAAUUAAUUCCCUUAUGAUUGUAAGAAUGAGGUCCUUUUUAUCCUGCAAACUCUGGAUCAAGUAUAACUCCUGGGAUGGAGAAGCUAUCUGUGGUUUCUUUCUGUAAUGUCUCUAUGGCAGCUUACAACAAGCAUAUUUUCCUUCUAGGCUAAUUGGAGAGACAGAAGGAAAAGAAACUGUACCUGUAUCUUGGUAGUUAUGAUACAUGACAAUUAGAAUGCCCCUUUGUUUGAUUUUCUGGAAAAGAAUCUCAUUUUAAAGGACUUAUGUGACUGAGUCAUUUGUACUCAGAAAGUCAACAUGACUCAAUGACAAAUAAAUUGAGAUCUGAAUUAUA